rnacentral:snRNA from 12 species
AACUUUGUGCAGUGGCAGUAUCAUAGCCCAUGAGGCUUGGCCGAGGCACGAUUAUUGCUAGUUGAACUUUCAUAUAGCAGAAAUUCUUGUCAUCCUAAAUGAAGUGUGAAAAGGGUAUUUCUGAGGAGACUAGCCGUGGC